AAAGAAAGGAAGAAUAACUUAAGAGCAAGAGGAGAAAGAAGUUCACAUCUCCAUUUUCGUAUUCCAUGGUGCAACUCCACUAAAUCAGCUUCUGUUUUGGAGGAGAAAACUGACCUUGAAGUUGUGUCAGUUAUGCUGAAUGUGUGUUAUGGAGAGCUACGAAUUUCUUGCUAAUGGAGAUGGAAGUUUGAGUAAGAUAAGAGUUCAAAGGCUGCAUUAACACCAUCUAAACCUCUAUUAAUCCAAGGUGCAGUUUAGUAGCUUUUGACAGAUAGCAGUUUCGGAUUGAUGGCUUGAAGUGGUGUUGGCUCGAAGACCUCUUCAGAUCUCUCUUUCCGCUGUGCAGAUCCAUUGAAGACA